UACAGAGGUCCCGAGCGUUGUUCGGAUUCAUUGGGCGUAAAGGGUGCGUAGGCGGCGGGGCCAGUCUGAUGUGAAAUCCCAGGGCUCAACCCUGGAACUGCAUUGGAUACUGCCUUGCUCGAGUACUGGAGAGGGAACUGGAAUUUACGGUGUAGCAGUGAAAUGCGUAGAGAUCGUAAGGAAGGCCAGUGGCGAAGGCGAGUUCCUGGACAGUGACUGACGCUGAGGCACGAAGGCCAGGGGAGCAAACGGG
rnacentral:rRNA from 1 species